GACGAACGCUGGCGGCGUGCUUAACACAUGCAAGUCGAACGCUGAUCCAUCUUCGGGUGGGGAUGAGUGGCGAACGGGUGAGUAACACGUGGAUAACCUGUCCUUAGCUCUGGGAUAAGCCUUGGAAACGGGGUCUAAUACCAGAUAUGACCUGUCAUCGCAUGGUGGUGGGUGGAAAGUUGUGGCGGCUAGGGGUUGGUCCGCGGCCUAUCAGCUUGUUGGUGGGGUGAUGGCCUACCAAGGCGACGACGGGUAGCCGGCCUGAGAGGGUGUCCGGCCACACUGGGACUGAGACACGGCCCAGACUCCUACGGGAGGCAGCAGUGGGGAAUAUUGCACAAUGGGCGGAAGCCUGAUGCAGCGACGCCGCGUGAGGGAUGACGGCCUUCGGGUUGUAAACUGCUUUUAUGUGCGAAGAAUUUGACUGUAACACAUGAAUAAGGAUCGGCUAACUACGUGCCAGCAGCCGCGGUAACAC
rnacentral:rRNA from 1 species